AUUGAACGCUGGCGGCAGGCUUAACACAUGCAAGUCGAGCGGAGAUGAGGUGCUUGCACCUUAUCUUAGCGGCGGACGGGUGAGUAAUGCUUAGGAAUCUGCCUAUUAGUGGGGGACAACAUUCCGAAAGGAAUGCUAAUACCGCAUACGUCCUACGGGAGAAAGCAGGGGAUCUUCGGACCUUGCGCUAAUAGAUGAGCCUAAGUCGGAUUAGCUAGUUGGUGGGGUAAAGGCCUACCAAGGCGACGAACUGUAGCGGGUCUGAGAGGAUGAUCCGCCACACUGGGACUGAGACACGGCCCAGACUCCUACGGGAGGCAGCAGUGGGGAAUACUGGACAAUGGGGGGAACCCUGAUCCAGCCAUGCCGCGUGUGUGAAGAAGGCCUUAUGGUUGUAAAGCACUUUAAGCGAGGAGGAGGCUACUGAGACUAAUACUCUUGGAUAGUGGACGUUACUCGCAGAAUAAGCACCGGCUAACUCUGUGCCAGCCGCCGCAGUAA
rnacentral:rRNA from 1 species